rnacentral:rRNA from 1 species
AUUGAACGCUGGCGGCAUGCCUUACACAUGCAAGUCGAACGGCAGCACGGGAGCAAUCCUGGUGGCGAGUGGCGAACGGGUGAGUAAAGUAUCGAAACGUGCCCAGGCGUGGGGGAUAACGUAGCGAAAGUUACGCUAAUACCGCAUACGAUCUAUGGAUGAAAGCGGGGGAUCGCAAGACCUCGCGCGAUUGGAGCGGCCGAUAUCAGAUUAGGUAGUUGGUGGGGUAAAGGCUCACCAAGCCGACGAUCUGUAGCUGGUCUGAGAGGACGACCAGCCACACUGGGACUGAGACACGGCCCAGACUCCUACGGGAGGCAGCAGUGGGGAAUUUUGGACAAUGGGCGAAAGCCUGAUCCAGCCAUGCCGCGUGCAGGAUGAAGGCCUUCGGGUUGUAAACUGCUUUUGUACGGAACGAAAAGGUUUGGCCUAAUAAGCUGAGCUCAUGACGGUACCGUAAGAAUAAGCACCGGCUAACUACGUGCCAGCCGCCGCAGUAA